ACAAGGUGCAUGCCUAGGCGCAUAUGGCGAGGGCUUGGAAAAUAUCGCGUGACUUUCUCCUGUGGAGGCAUUAGAGUUGGAGCCUAAAACGCACCUUUAAUAACUAUGCUUACGUGCAUGGGGCACAAAGAGAGAGAGAGCCACAAACACAAUGAGCCAGACUGAAAAAAGAAAGGAGGAGAGGAGACUUCUUCCUCUGUCUCCCCCACCCACUUGGGUUUUCCUUUUUCUUUUAUUCUUUCCUUUCCGUUCCCCUGUGAGAAUCUGAAUUUAAAUUUCAGAUCCACAAUCUGAACGACUGAACUGAAUCAACUGGAACCUGGACGACCUAGGAUCUUUUUAGUUUUUUGCCAUUUUGCUGUUGCGCUUGAUGUUCUACUUUUACUGCUGGAUGUUAGGAGCUGCUGAUAUUGAUUUUGCAAGUCUUCCUUCUGUCUUG
rnacentral:misc_RNA from 1 species